UGCGCCGUGUGAUAUGUGCCAUUUUGGCCUGCAUGUGAUGUGCAGUGCAGUUUGUCCGUGGCGUCGCAUAAGGAAGCCUUGGAAGUAUUGUUGGCUGUCACUCAAAGGGGAUGUGGCAGCUCAAAAUUCGACACCUGGGUUUUUCUCUUCAAAGAGCUCCCAUCUUCAUUUGAUGCUGUCUUCCUCAUCGGAAAAAUAAGCCUGGAGCUAGUUAGCGGGGAGAGGCGUCACAGGCAGCCAGCGGAGGUCAGCUACGCCUGCAGGCAUGAAGGCCUUCAAGUCUGCGGCCUCUCAUCUGGCCAUUUAACACAACAUAGAGGGACUGGAUGGAUACAGCAACAAGGAAGGAACACUACAACAACACACUAAACCACAAUUAGCAGAACAAAAUCUCACCCGAAUAAUGGCAUUGUUUAGUAUGAAGCUAUUGAGCCCCUACAUGGUUGAAUGCCUGUUUGGGAGAAAUGUAAAUUGAAGUGCUGUAUGUACAAAUUAUAGGAAUAGACAUGUAUUCAUAUGUUUAUGGUCAUAGCUCUUUAAGCAACUGCUUAAUACAGUAUCCAAUCUAUGUGGCUUUUGCUUCUUUAACUGAAAACAAAGGAAGAUCCAAAUCAACAUGUUUUUUUCCCCCUGGAGAUUGUCACCAUUGUCACCUUUAACUAAAUGUGUUUCACUGGAUUUCCAUGGAGUCACAGUGGCAUCUAUCCUCUGUCUGACUGUCUCUGGAGGUGCUUGAAGCGUUUAUCCAGCAGAACUGACAGAGAGAAGGCUUUAAUUAGCAAGCCUACUCUUUAUAUUGCAUAACAAACUGUACUGUCUGUCUGAACGCUGGAUAGUAAUAUUCAUUCACUGAUGUUUUUGAAGGACCAGUUGGAGAGAGCGUAGCUCCUCAUUUACGCCACAUAAUUAAAAGCAAAUGAGAAUU